rnacentral:rRNA from 1 species
UACGGAGGGAGCUAGCGUUGUUCGGAAUUACUGGGCGUAAAGCGCACGUAGGCGGCUUUUUAAGUCAGGGGUGAAAUCCCGGGGCUCAACCCCGGAACUGCCCUUGAAACUGGAGAGCUAGAAUCUUGGAGAGGCGAGUGGAAUUCCGAGUGUAGAGGUGAAAUUCGUAGAUAUUCGGAAGAACACCAGUGGCGAAGGCGACUCGCUGGACAAGUAUUGAGCGCUGA